rnacentral:rRNA from 1 species
AUGAGUAGGGCGGGACACGUGGUAUCCUGUCUGAAUAUGGGGGGACCAUCCUCCAAGGCUAAAUACUCCUGACUGACCGAUAGUGAACCAGUACCGUGAGGGAAAGGCGAAAAGAACCCCGGCGAGGGGAGUGAAAAAGAACCUGAAACCGUGUACGUACAAGCAGUGGGAGCACAGAGCAAUCUGUGUGACUGCGUACCUUUUGUAUAAUGGGUCAGCGACUUAUAUUCUGUAGCAAGGUUAACCGAAUAGGGGAGCCGAAGGGAAACCGAGUCUUAACUGGGCGUUAAGUUGCAGGGUAUAGACCCGAAACCCGGUGAUCUAGCCAUGGGCAGGUUGAAGGUUGGGUAACACUAACUGGAGGACCGAACCGACUAAUGUUGAAAAAUUAGCGGAUGACUUGUGGCUGGGGGUGAAAGGCCAAUCAAACCGGGAGAUAGCUGGUUCUCCCCGAAAGCUAUUUAGGUAGCGCCUCGUGAAUUCAUCUCCGGGGGUAGAGCACUGUUUCGGCAAGGGGGUCAUCCCGACUUACCAACCCGAUGCAAACUGCGAAUACCGGAGAAUGUUAUCACGGGAGACACACGGCGGGUGCUAACGUCCGUCGUGAAGAGGGAAACAACCCAGACCGCCAGCUAAGGUCCCAAAGUCAUGGUUAAGUGGGAAACGAUGUGGGAAGGCCCAGACAGCCAGGAUGUUGGCUUAGAAGCAGCCAUCAUUUAAAGAAAGCGUAAUAGCUCACUGGUCGAGUCGGCCUGCGCGGAAGAUGUAACGGGGCUAAACCAUGCACCGAAGCUGCGGCAGCGACACUGUGUGUUGUUGGGUAGGGGAGCGU